GACGAACGCUGGCGGCGUGCUUAAUACAUGCAAGUCGACCGAAGCAGUGGUAGCAAUAUCGCUGUGGAGGUGGCGCACGGGGGAGGAACACGUAGGUAAUCUGCUUUCAGGUCUGGCAUAACUCCGUGAAACCGGGGCAAAUAGCAGAUGAUGAAGCGGCGAGACAUCGAGACCAUUGUUAAAGCUAUGGCGUCUGAAGAUGAGCCUUCGUCUGCUUAGCUAGUUGGCGGGGUAGCGGCCCACCAAUGCAACGAUCAGUCGCUGGUCUGAGAGGAUGAUCAGCCACACUGGAACUGAGACACGGUCCAGACUCCUACGGGGGGCAGCAGUAUGCACUAUUGCUCAAUGGGUGAAAGCCUGAAGCAGCGUCGCCGCGUGAGGUACGAAGGUCUUUUGCUUGUAAACCUCUGUAGUGAGAGAAAAAAAUCCCAAUCUGUGGGACAUGAUGGUAUCUCAAAAGUAAGCCCCGGCUAACUACGUG
rnacentral:rRNA from 1 species